AAUAUAUAAUAAAAUAAUUAUGUUUUUGGAAAUUUAUUAUAAAUUUAUUUUACAUAUAAAUUUUAGUAUAUAAUUUUAAUUAUUUAAAUAAUAAUUAAUUUAUUUUGGUAGUAAUUAAUAUUAAAAAUUUAAGAAAUUAAGAUUUAGUAAUAUAAAAAUUAAUAACUAAUUUUGUGCCAGCAGUUGCGGUUAAACAAAAGUUAAAUUAAAUUAUUUCAGUAUAUAAUAAAUAAUUAAAUUAUUAAAAUAAAUAUUAAAUUAUUAAGUGAAAUUUUAAUUUAAUUAAAUUUUAUUUUAAAGUUAUGAUUUAAUAAAUUUUAAUAUAAACUAGGAUUAGAUACCCUAUUAUUAAAAAUUUAAUUUAUAAUACUAAAAUAGUAAAUAAUAAUUUAUUGAAACUUAAAUAACAUGGCGGUAUUUUAGUUCAUUUAGAGGAAUCUGUCUAAUAAUUGAUAAUCCACGAAUAAAUUUACUUAAUUUAUAAUUUUGUAUAUCAUUGUUAAAAAAAUAUUUUUUAGGAAAAAUAAUAUUUAAAAAUUAUAAUAAAAAAUUAAAUCAGAUCAAGAUGCAGAAUAUAAUUAAGAAUAUGAUGGAUUACAUUAAAUAUAUUUAUAUGAAUAAUUUUAUUGUAAUAAAAAUUUGAAGGUGGAUUUAAAUGUAAUUUUAAUUAGUUUAUUAAAAUGAUUAAAAAUUAAAAUAUGUACAUAUUGCCCGUCACUUUCAUUUAAAAAUUGAAAUAAGUCGUAACAAAGUAGAGGUACUGGAAAGUGUUUC
rnacentral:ncRNA from 1 species